rnacentral:misc_RNA from 1 species
UCCGGCGGCGACGUGCAGGCGGCAGAGCGGGCACGUGCGGCGGCAGCGCGCGAGCCAGCGGUCGACGCAGUCGCGGUGGAAGGCGUGUCCGCAGGGCAGCCUCCGGACGUCGUCCCCGUCGUCGCGGCACGCCGAAAUGCACACGCAGCAGUACCCCACCGCCGGCGACGCCGCCGAGCGGUCGUGGCCGCCGCCGCCGCAACGUCGCCGCCAACGCUCGGCCUCGGCCCCCGCCGCCUUGGAGAGCAGCGCCACAACCUGGCUCACCGUCACGGCCAGCAUGGCUGGGUUAGUUUAGUGAGGCCGCUGUUUCGGUCGCAGCGAGACGAGUGGCCAGUGGGACUG